UUUUUUUUUUUUUUUUUUUUUUAGGGAGUUGAUUUACUAGCCAAAAUUACCUUUGAUACUGUCCUGGACUUCUGCAUAAAAAGGAGCGUAUGAUUUCAGUUAUUUGGAAGGCACUGGAUUGUCAGCUGAUAAUUCAUUGUACUACAAGAUGAAGUUUUUGAUUUUUGAAAUUGCCUUCUAAAUGCAGUGAUACCCUUGAAGGGGUCGGGAAGUAUUAGUCCAUCUGAGCAGAGCAGUCCUAUUGUUUUGUGAUGCUACUAUGGAGUAGGUUCUGCUAAGCAUGCUAGGAAACAGAAAAAUGUAAUAGUGUUUCAAAGAGAGUUUGAGCCUUUGUUCACAUCAGUUCUCCUGUGAGUCUGAUACUUAUUUUACAUUUUCUUCCUACUUAGAUGUUCACACACUGUAAACAUCUCCCCCAGACUCAACACGGCUUCUUAAAUUCCUGUACUAAUCAAAAAUUUCAAAUGGUCAGGUUUUUAGUCAAUCCACAACAAACACGUUAGAUUGAACACUAAGCAAUCCAAUCAAAUUUCCUGACAGCAAACUAAUUUCACUGCCUUUAUUUGGGGAAAGUGUCAAAUUUCUAAUGUCUCUGGCAUAACAACAAAAAUAUAUGGAAAAUUGUGAGUUUUCUCUAACAAUUCUCACUUUAUUUGGUAUUAGAUAAGUUUACAGAACCAUCAUUAUAAAACAGUUUUAUUUACAAUGAAGAUAUAUUAGCUCCUAACAAGAUGUUAAUCUCAUGACAAUGUUAAAGUAGGACAGAAUCUUCAGUUUAUAUUCAAUAAUAUUAACCUUCUAACAUAAAAUAUGUUACUAGAAGGGGAGAGGAUUAGAUUCAGUUUUAAAACUCUUAAGUGAGACAAAAGGAAGUUUGAAAAGGACACUUAAACCCAUAGGACACUUAAAGUUAUAGAUCCAGAGACUAACAAAUUGGCUCAAGUCGGCUUUAAUUCUAACUUAGAUUUCUUCCAAGUUGUAGCCUACACAAGGCUCAACUCACAGGGUAGACACCCUUGAACUCAACUGGGUGGCGUUAGAGGAUAACCAGAACACAGAUAAAGAGUAUAGUUUACAUACUAAGUUCUAUUUACAAAUACUAUGCUCACUAUGCCUAAAGGUUCUGUAAAUCGCUUCUCUGCUAUCCUGUGACAAUUUUUUGAAUUUUUUCCAUCUUAAUUAGAAUUGCUUCAACAUUUGGGGUAAUAGUCAGUGCUUUUUGUGCUUUGUAGUAGCUAUGCAGCUUAAUUUGGUGACAUCAUUUAUGUAUUUAAAAUUGUUUUAAUUAAAGUUUUUUGGAUGCAAUAUAUUUUGAUCAUAUUCUUAUGAUCCCUUCCUUCAACUCCUCCCAAAUCUUCCUUACCUUUUUACCCACCCAAAACUUUAUAUUCCCUUUAAAACAAGGAAGAAAAAGCAAACAAAACAUAAAAACCAAAACAGAAGAAAAGUCAGACC
rnacentral:lncRNA from 1 species